rnacentral:lncRNA from 1 species
GGAAAUGUGAGCGUAACCCUUUCUAAUUUUCCCUCCACCAGCAACUGGGUACCGUAGCUAGUGAAGCCAGUGAAGUUCCUCAUUGGCUAUCUAAAACUAUCAUUUGAUGGCACGUUCAUCACAAGGUUCAUCCGAAACACUGCCAGGGAUGUCUCCUUCAUGAGCGGGCGAGACACUCUUGUUGCCCUUGGCGUGUGCGCUGGUGGUGAGAUCUGCUGCUGCGUCGGACUCGCAGUCCUCCUGUGGUGCCGUGGCCAGCCAUCCCCGUCUUCGCCCAUCUGCCCUACAGCCCUGUUCCCUGCCUGCCUGCCUUGCUCACCGCCUUUUGGAUCCACUGCCUCAACCCGCUGGCCACACUGCCUGACCCGUGUCCCGACCUGCCCCCGGGACUUGGCACUGGUUCCGGUCCUCGGUGAGGCGUGCCGUUCGGCCUGGUCCCUGGCGGGGUGCCUCUGCAGGUCCACCCUGACAGCACGUGGCUGGUUCAGCCCGGCUUCGGGAGCAGGCCAGUCGGAUAGCGAGCGCCCAGCUCAAGCCGGUCGUUGGAGCAGACCGACUUGACGGCUUGACACUAAUCUUGGCUCGGGUCCUCGCAUGCCCCGUCCCUGAUUCUUCUCCCUGUAUCCGGCCCUGAGAAGCAGAGACUCUGCCGCUGGACUGCGAAGCCCUUGCUCUUGGGUCCGUAACACCUCCUAGCCCACCCCCGCCAUCCAGGUGGGUGGAGCAGUGUAACAGUAUUACAAUAACAGUAUUACAAUAUCUUUAUGUUGCAAGGAAAGGAAAAAAAAUAUAUAUUUUUUUUAAAUAGUCUGCAGAGGCAACGAUUAAAUGAACUUGUAUGGUUUUUAAAAUAGUGCAAUGCUUGAUAUUUUUGUUUUUUAAUACAUGAACUACAUACAUGUAUUAGGUACUGUAUAAGCAAAAAUGUUAUAUAAUGUGAGUUGUAUAUACUAUUGAAAUGUAUUUCACAGUCUAGCUUAAGUUUGGUGGAACAUGCUGGCAAUAUAAAUAAAAAAAAUGUAUAUUGCUAAGCAUGUAUUUAAUAUGUACAUCCACGUCAUGUCAUGGAAUAUUAUU